GGAGGCCCCUGCGCGCGCAGCCCCGCCCUCGCGCGCGCCAUUGUUGUUUGGCUGGAUGCUUAGGCCUCCUUUGGUCCGUGGGCCGGGAACGGCGGGGAGCGCCUGUUUAGCUGCCCUGCUUUCGAGGGCACCUUGGAGAGCUCGGGCCGAAGUAGGGCGCGGUGUCCCCUGUCCCUUACCCUGCAGCACCGACUCUGCUAGUGCCACAUGGCUUGUGGGAUCUUAGUUCCCCAACCAGAAAUCAAACCCGGCCCUUGGCAGUGAGAGCACCAAGUCCUAACCACUGGACCACCAAGGAGCUCCUGAGUUUAAUUACGUUUGGACUGGGGAACAUCUGACUUAAGAAGACCUCGCAGGCAAUACAGGGAUGCCGAAAUUUAUUCAUUGUUAAGAACUCCCCAUCAUUGUUCUAGGCUAUUGCUUCCUUAUUCAU
ensembl:lncRNA